rnacentral:rRNA from 1 species
AUUGAACGCUGGCGGCAUGCCUUACACAUGCAAGUCGAACGGUAACAGGUCUUCGGAUGCUGACGAGUGGCGAACGGGUGAGUAAUACAUCGGAACGUGCCCGAGAGUGGGGGAUAACGAGGCGAAAGCUUUGCUAAUACCGCAUACGAUCUCAGGAUGAAAGCAGGGGACCGCAAGGCCUUGCGCUCACGGAGCGGCCGAUGGCAGAUUAGGUAGUUGGUGGGGUAAAAGCUUACCAAGCCGACGAUCUGUAGCUGGUCUGAGAGGACGACCAGCCACACUGGGACUGAGACACGGCCCAGACUCCUACGGGAGGCAGCAGUGGGGAAUUUUGGACAAUGGGCGCAAGCCUGAUCCAGCCAUGCCGCGUGCAGGAUGAAGGCCUUCGGGUUGAAAACUGCUUUUGUACGGAACGAAAAGACUCUGGUUAAUACCUGGGGUCCAUGACGGUACCGUAAGAAUAAGCACCGGCUAACUACGUGCCAGCCGCCGCGGUAAUAC